rnacentral:rRNA from 1 species
UACGAAGGGUGCAAGCGUUAAUCGGAAUUACUGGGCGUAAAGCGUGCGCAGGCGGUUUGUUAAGUCUGUUGUGAAAUCCCCGAGCUCAACUUGGGAAUUGCAAUGGAUACUGGCAGGCUGGAGUAUGGUAGAGGAAGGUGGAAUUCCCGGUGUAGCAGUGAAAUGCGUAGAGAUCGGGAGGAACACCGGUGGCGAAGGCGACGUCCUGGACCGGCAUUGACGCUGAGGCGCGAAAGCCAGGGGAGCAAACGGG